AGUGAACGCUGGCGGUAGGCCUAACACAUGCAAGUCGAACGGCAGCACAGUAAGAGCUUGCUCUUACGGGUGGCGAGUGGCGGACGGGUGAGGAAUACAUCGGAAUCUACUUUUUCGUGGGGGAUAACGUAGGGAAACUUACGCUAAUACCGCAUACGACCUACGUGUGAAAGCAGGGGAUCUUCGGACCUUGCGCGAUUGAAUGAGCCGAUGUCGGAUUAGCUAGUUGGCGGGGUAAAGGCCCACCAAGGUGACGAUCCGUAGCUGGUCUGAGAGGAUGAUCAGCCACACUGGAACUGAGACACGGUCCAGACUCCUACGGGAGGCAGCAGUGGGGAAUAUUGGACAAAGGGCGCAAGCCUGAUCCAGCCAUACCGCGUGGGUGAAGAAGGCCUUCGGGUUGUAAAGCCCUUUUGUUGGGAAAGAAAAGCAGCAGGUUAAUACCCCGCUGUUCUGACGGUACCCAAAGAAUAAGCACCGGCUAACUUCGUG
rnacentral:rRNA from 1 species